GUCGGUAGAGCAUCAGACUUUUAAUCUGA
rnacentral:piRNA from 1 species